rnacentral:rRNA from 1 species
UAGGGAAUAUUGGUCAAUGGGGGCAACCCUGAACCAGCCAUGCCGCGUGCAGGAUGACUGCCCUAUGGGUUGUAAACUGCUUUUGUACGGGAAGAAAUCCCCCGAUGUAUCGGGGGUUGACGGUACCGUGAGAAUAAGGAUCGGCUAACUUCGUGCCAGCAGCCGCGGUAAUACGAAGGAUCCAAGCGUUGUCCGGAUUUACUGGGUUUAAAGGGAGCGUAGGCGGACUUUUAAGUCAGUGGUGAAAGCUUCCCGCUUAACGGGAAAACUGCCAUUGAAACUGAGAGUCUCGAGUAUGGUUGAGGUUACUGGAAUGUUGCAUGUAGCGGUGAAAUGCUUAGAUAUGCAACAGAACACCAAUUGCGAAGGCAGGUAACUAAGCCAUAACUGACGCUGAGGCUCGAAAGCGUGGGGAGCAAACAG